CCCUUAGACGUUCUGGGCCGCACGCGCGCUACACUGACCAGUGCAACAAGCAUCCGUCCUUGGCCGACAGGCUCGGGCAAUCUUUGAACGCUGGUCGUGAUGGGGAUAGACUUUUGCAAUUUUUGGUCUUCAACGAGGAAUUCCUAGUAAACGCAAGUCAUCAACUUGCAUUGAUUACGUCCCUGCCCUUUGUACACACCGCCCGUCGCACCGACCGAUUGAAUGGUCCGGUGAAGCCUCCGGAUUGGCGCGCACCUCGGUGCCGCCGAGAAGUUGGCUAAACCUUACCAUUUAGAGGAAGGUGAAGUCGUAACA
rnacentral:rRNA from 1 species